rnacentral:rRNA from 1 species
AAUAGCUCACUAGUCGAGUCGGCCUGCGCGGAAGAUGUAACGGGGCUCAAACUGGAUACCGAAGCUGCGGCUGCAUACUAUGUAUGCGGGGUAGGGGAGCGUUGUGUAAGUCUGUGAAGGUGUGUUGAGAAGCAUGCUGGAGAUAUCACAAGUGCGAAUGCUGACGUGAGUAACGAUAAUGGGAGUGAAAAACUCCCACGCCGAAAGACCAAGGUUUCCUGCGCAACGCUAAUCGGCGCAGGGUGAGUCGGCCCCUAAGGCGAGGCAGAAAUGCGUAGCUGAUGGGAAACAGGUUAAUAUUCCUGUACUUCUUAUAACUGCGAUGGAGAGACGGAGAAGGCUAUGCCUACCGGGCGUUGGUUGUCCCGGGGAAAGGCUGUAGGCUGAGGUGUUAGGCAAAUCCGGCACCUUAAGGCUGAGAGUCGAGACCACUGGUCCUUUGUGACCGGGAAGUGGUUGAUGCCAUGCUUCCAGGAAAAUCUUCUAAGCUUCAGGUUAUAAGGAACCGUACCCCAAACCGACACAGGUGGUUGGGAUGAGUAUUCUAAGGCGCUUGAGAGAACUCGGGUGAAGGAACUAGGCAAAGUGGUACCGUAACUUCGGGAGAAGGUACGCCGCUGACGGUGAUGAGACUUGCUCUCUGAGCUAUCGGCGGUCGCAGUGAAAAGGCCCCUGCAACUGUUUAUUAAAAACACAGCACUCUGCAAACGCGUAAGCGGACGUAUAGGGUGUGACGCCUGCCCGGUGCCGGAAGGUUAAUUGAUGGGGUUAGCUUCGGCGAAGCUCUUGAUCGAAGCCCCGGUAAACGGCGGCCGUAACUAUAACGGUCCUAAGGUAGCGAAAUUCCUUGUCGGGUAAGUUCCGACCUGCACGAAUGGCGUAAUGAUGGGGGCGCUGUCUCCACCCGAGACUCAGUGAAAUCGAAAUCGCAGUGAAGAUGCUGUGUACCCGCGGCUAGACGGAAAGACCCCGUGAACCUUUACUAUAGCUUCACAGUGGACUUUGAACCUGUUUGUGUAGGAUAGCUGGGAGACUUUGAAGCAGUGACGCUAGUCAUUGUGGAGUCGUCCUUGAAAUACCAGCCUGGCAUGUUUGAGGUUCUAACCUGGGUCCCUUAUCGGGAUCGGGGACAUUGUGUGGUGGGUAGUUUGACUGGGGCGGUCUCCUCCCAAAGAGUAACGGAGGAGCACAAAGGUACCCUCAGCACGGUCGGACAUCGUGCAACGAGCGUAAAGGUAGAAGGGUGCUUGACUGCGAGACUUACAAGUCGAGCAGGUGCGAAAGCAGGUCUUAGUGAUCCGGUGGUUCUGUAUGGAAGGGCCAUCGCUCAACGGAUAAAAGGUACU